AAUAUAGUGGGACACUUGAAAUUUUUACUUGUUCUGUCACUUUUUAACAUCAUCUCAGUGUUAUAUAAUUGUAACGGGAUACAUCUAUAAAAAAAAAUCUCCCUUACACUUAUACUACUUUUUCAUAUGAUGCUGUCAAAGUGGGACAAUUUCUUUACUAUAAAAGUCAGGAAAGAUGCUUUGAAUUUUAUGUCCAUAUUUUUAAAAUGAUUUGUUUGCUUGUAAUAUGCAUGAGCAUCUUGCAUCUUGUAAUAUGCAUGAGCAUCUUUUUAUGCAAAAUAGGUAUAUAUAAAAUAAAUUAAUUACAGCUCAUGACCCUCCUCUUAAGUUUUAAAAAGAUUAAUCACCUAUUGAUAUAGAGGGAAUGAAAAAAAAUUUAAAUGCUAUAAAAGCAAUUUUUAAAUGAAAAUUAAAACAUUUACCCUUUCAUCCUUAUAUGUAACAGUUAGCCUACAAAUGCUCAAUAAAGUUUUUACUUUUUUUUAUAAACUUAAAAUGAAUUGACUCAUGGCUGUAAUUUCACUGACCAUUGAUAGUCUUGGUCCUAGUUUUGAAAUGACAUAUGCCACUCUUUAAUUUAACCCUUUAUUCCGAGGAUUAACCGAAUAAGGAAUUUAGAUAUAGAUACGUAGGCUAUAUACACGUUACGGCAGAAAAAAAUCAAGCGUAAGUGUCCCAUUUUAUCAAUAUUCACCAUAAGGCUAACCGUAUUGUAAUAAUAACCACAGCCUGUCUACUUAGAAUAUACAUUUUGCAGGUUAAAAAACACUUCACAUGACCUAUCUGUUUUGCAAAACAUCACAAUGCUGUGGCAAAUACCCGGACCUGGCAACCCUACACCACCACUUUCUAUUGGUUUCCCUAGUUUAACUAGACUCCCAGGUUUAGUUUCACUUUGGCCUAUUAUGGUUUGAUGUAGAUGAAAUAUGUUACAAUUUGGUACAGAGUGGGCCUAAACUAAUCCCUUGAAUUUUGCAAAGACAUUGAGAUUCACCUGAAAACAAUAAGAAGGAAAUAAAUAUAAAGUCAGUUGGAACAGAGAAGGAGGCUACUACAUCUUUUGGCUACGACUAAGCUUGCCCUGAUGAGUGGAGACCUCUCUUCUUCUGGAGUUUCAGCCAAAAUUCACUGAACCUGUGAGCUGACAUCUUGGCUUGGUGGAUUUUCUCCCUUUAGUUGGGCAAUGCAAGUAUGGGCAGCCAAACAUCCAGGCCAUCUGAUCAGCAACCUUUAUUAGAUCAUACAGAUGAAGUACCACUCAUUGAGAAGAUCUCAGUUGUGGUUAUGGGACCUCAUGGAGUUGGAAAGAAUACAGUUGGGAAUGCUAUUCUUAAAAAGAAAGCCUUCACAUUCCAGGAUAGAUCUAAAAACUAUUACUUGAAGGAGGAAAACACAACAUUUGACAGACAUGUUUCUGUCAUUCGUGUCCCAGGCUGGUCUGCAGAUUUAACCUCUGAAAACAAUAUACAACUUUGGCAAGUGAUUAAAGACAGUCUGAGGUCAGUUGAUGAUGGACCCCAUGCUAUUAUACUGGUUGUUAAUAUGAACACUGAAACUGUAGAGACCACAAAAGAGAAAUUAAAACAACUCCUGGGUGAUAAUGUUUUCCAGCAUAUUUUAAUCGCUUCAGUGGACAGAAAAAACAUUGUGGUUUGUCACAGUGAAAGAAAACAAACUGUCAUUAACAGAUGUAAAUAUCACUUAUUUGUAAGAUGCACAUGUGGACAGCAAAAUAAAAAGUUCAUUGAAACAAUUGAAGAUUUUAUUGUAUAUAAGGAAGACAUUCGUUUCUACACUGUGAGGAAAAAGGCACAAAAAAUGGAAUUGCAGCAUCAGGACCUGGCUAACCUUGUAGAUGGAUUAAACCACAAAAUUUCAGCUCUCUCAUGUUCCAAGGAUUCCAAUGAGCAUGUAAUACAAUCACAAAAAGCUGAAAUAAAGGAACUACAACGUCUGCUGAAAGAAAAGGAGCAUAUGUUGAGAGCCAAGGAGGAGGAGAUAAAAAGUUUAAAGUCAAAUCAAAAUCACACAAAGCUCUCUGCCCUGCACAAACAGCUUGAGCAUGCAGCAAUGAAAGAAAAAAAGCUUCAAGGAAUGGUUGGUGAAAUGAAAAAAAAUCUUGAAGAAAAAAAUAAAGAGAUAAAAGAACUGAGAAAAGAAAUCAAGCAUUGAAAUCUCAAAAUGAAAAUAAAAAAAGCACAAAACCACCAUCCAUGACUGGACGAAUGCAGAAGCCUACUAAUUCAGUUGAAUUAAUCCCCCUGAUCUCAACAGAAACAUUGAGCAGUGAAGCACCUCAAGCCAGUGAAGUCCACAGAGCUGUGCAGUUUCUGAAGAAAAACCGCAAAGAACUCAUUGAAAGAAUUGUGGCAGUGAAGCCCAUUGCUGAUGAACUGUUUCCAUUUAUCAACCAAUAUAAAUAUGAGAAGAUUCUACAGGCUCCAUCUGAGUAUGAGCAAAGGAGACAGCUCUACGACAUAAUGGAUAAAGGUGGAAAGAAAUUGCAAUUUGAGUUUUACAAAUGCCUGUUAAAACAUGAGAAAUAUCUUGUUGAAGACUUAGAGGAGUCACCAUAAAAUACAAAGUACUGGUAAGACUAAAGAAUGUGAAGGUCCAGUUACCAAAAUAGACAUAAUUUCUUUUCUGGGGGAAAAAAUUACACAUGAGAUGAACAACUGCCAGUCCAUCACUGGACACCUUGCACACAUGCAUUCACAUGAAAAGGCAAUACAGUGCAGCUAAUCCGUGUACCUGCCUGUUUUUGGACAAUGGGAGGAAACCCCUGCGAAUAUGGGGAGAACAUGCCAAACUCUGCACAUACAAUAACUCAGUCAAGAUACAUUCAAGAUCAGUGUAGGGUAAAUUACUCUAAAAAGUAAUCCACUAAAGAUUACUAAUGACUACUUUAAAAUUGUAAUCUUAUUACAAUACUGAUUACUAAGUACUUUACUUUCACAUUACUUUCAAAACCUACAUACCUACAAAAAUACACUACAAAUUGAAACUCAGUUCUUUCAGCACUUUUAGCGCAUAUCAAUGUAUGACACGAUCAGAAAAAUUUGGAUUUAUCAUAAAAGUUGCCUCAGGUGUUGUCACUAUUUGUAGGAAUACCAGACCGAUAAAAUAUAAAGCUUUUCUAACUUAUCUAGUUUGGUAUUGCUAAGCUAAGCUAUCACUGUAUGGGUGUAAGCUAUCACUGUAAGCUAUAGCUAAGCUAACACGGUAUGGGUUUAGCUGCUACAGUGCUAUGAAAAGUACAUUAUCCUUCCUUAUGCUCUGCUCAUAUCAUUUUCCCGUGAACUGGAACUCAUAUAGACAUUUACACACCUUGUUUUCCUGAUCAGCAUCAGAGGAUGCUACUGUUUCAAUUUCAACCCCUUUACUGGUUAAAAAAAUCGGCGUAUAUCCAUUUUUCCUCAGACUGACUGUAAAUUAGCGCUUGGCAGAAUUGAGAGUUGUCAGCCAAUAAGACACAAUAAUUUCUAUGUAUUUUCCUGUAAACCGUGUGUGGGCCAUACCAGCAAAAGCCUUCAUCGAGCCUGUAAUCAGUCACACCAUUAAAAUUAGAUCAUGGCAGAUUUUGAAGGACUCAGACUCUUUGUCUGAACACCUAACCAGUCUGUCUAUCUCUGUGUUUGAAAAGUCACAGUAAAACGUUAUACCCCUCAAUUUCUUUGAAUUUCUACCUGGUCACCAAACUCAGUAAAUUCCUGUCAAUUUCAUAGUAACAUUAAUACAUCAUAUGCCGAAGAGAACAUUUAUUUAUUUGUUCACUUUUUCUAGCAUUUUUCUAACGCCCAAGAAAAAUAAGAAGAAUACUGUGGGAAGAGACAUAGAACUCAUGUAAUGAGGAGUUGUGGUACAGUUGGGGUUGUGGUUUGCUGAAAACAUGGCAUAUCUCAGUUAUGUGUUUUUCUGACCCUGAAAGUAAGCCCAUUUACCUUCCAUGAUAUCAUCUCAAGUGAGGAGCACUAUUAUGUCCAGCACCCCUGAAUGACAGUUUGAAUUAAUCACAAUAUAUCAUAUUUUUAAGUUGUGGAAAUUGAAAAGAAACUCAAUAAGUCUAGGUAAUGCCAUUUGAUCCAACAUUAAAUAUACAAAAGUGACACUAUGAAUUAAUUAAUAGGUUUGUCCCUUUAAAGUCCACAAAAACUACAUAGGAGGUGAUGGCAUUGGAGACAUAGCUUAUCUUAGUGACUGUAUUAUUUUUUUUUUUAUGGAUAAAACUGCAAACAAUACUUUUAUUUGUGUGUAAGCAGAUGAGUGUCUGUCCUUUAAACUGUGGUCAUGUAAACUGUAUUAAAAUUCCACAACUCAAAAUAUUGAAUAAAAAUAUGCAACAUAAUAGAAUGUGAAUAUUGCAAACCAUUUUUUGUCAUGUAUCACUCUGCGAUAUCUACAAGAAAGCUAAUAAAAUAAUUUCAACUGA
ensembl:lncRNA